rnacentral:rRNA from 1 species
UGAGGCGCAGUAGUUGACUGUACAUCUAGGGGUAAAGCACUGUUUCGGUGUGGGCGGCAAGCGCGGUACAAAAUCGAGGCAAACUCUGAAUACUAGAUAUGACCUCAAAAUAAAUAGGGGUCAAGUUUGGCUAGUGAGACAAUGGGGGAUAAGCUUCAUCGUCGAGAGGGAAACAGCCUAAAUAACCAGCUAAGGCCCCUAAAUGACCGCUCAGUGAUAAAGGAGGUAGGGGUGCAGAGAAAGCCAGGAGGUUCCUAGAAGCAGCCACCAUUGAAAGAGUGCGUAAUAGCUCACUGAUCGAGUGCUCUUGCAUCGAAGAAUAACGGGGCUAAGCGGUCUGCCGAAGCUGUGGUAUGUAAAAAUACAUCGGUAA